rnacentral:sRNA from 1 species
AGCAGUUCAAAAAGCAAUCACCACCACCAAGCCUGCCAAUGAUGGAACCGUCCUAGAUUCAGGGACUAUCUUCGGCAUUGCAGCUGGAUGUUUCGUAGUUGUUGUUUUAUUUGUUGCAUGCUGUCAUGAAAGAUUGAAGAAGUGCUUCCUUGUGCUCAGAGACAUCAUACUUUGUAAAUGUUGUACCAGGUGUAGGCGAUCAAGAGAAGGACCGACUAACGUUGUAACCCCUCAACAAGCAAAAUAAGAUUAAUCCUCAAAGUCAGG